rnacentral:rRNA from 1 species
AACGAACGCUGGCGGCAUGCCUAACACAUGCAAGUCGAACGAGACCUUCGGGUCUAGUGGCGCACGGGUGCGUAACGCGUGGGAAUCUGCCCUUGGGUCCGGAAUAACUCAGAGAAAUUUGAGCUAAUACCGGAUGAUGACGUAAGUCCAAAGAUUUAUCGCCCAGGGAUGAGCCCGCGUAGGAUUAGCUAGUUGGUGAGGUAAAGGCUCACCAAGGCGACGAUCCUUAGCNGGUCUGAGAGGAUGAUCAGCCACACUGGGACUGAGACACGGCCCAGACUCCUACGGGAGGCAGCAGUGGGGAAUAUUGGACAAUGGGCGAAAGCCUGAUCCAGCAAUGCCGCGUGAGUGAUGAAGGCCUUAGGGUUGUAAAG